rnacentral:rRNA from 1 species
UACGUAGGGUGCGAGCGUUGUCCGGAUUUAUUGGGCGUAAAGAGCUCGUAGGCGGCUCGUCGCGUCGACCGUGAAAACCCGCAGCUCAACUGUGGGCUUGCAGCUGAUACGGGCGGGCUGGAGUUCGGUAGGGGAGACUGGAAUUCCUGGUGUAGCGGUGAAAUGCGCAGAUAUCAGGAGGAACACCGGUGGCGAAGGCGGGUCUCUGGGCCGAUACUGACGCUGAGGAGCGAAAGCGUGGGGAGCGAACAGG